GACGAACGCUGGCGGCGUGCUUAACACAUGCAAGUCGAACGGAAAGGCCUGCUUUCCCUUGUGGAUUGCGGGUACUCGAGUGGCGAACGGGUGAGUAACACGUGAGUGAUCUGCCCCCAACUUGGGUAUAAGCCUGGGAAACUGGGUCUAAUUCCCGAUAGGACUGCAGGGUGGUGCCUGUGGUGGAAAACGAUUUUCUAGUGGUUGGGGAUGAGCUCGCGGCCUAUCAGCUUGUUGGUGGGGUAAUGGCUUACCAAGGCGGCGACGGGUAGCCGGCCUGAGAGGGUGGACGGCCACAUUGGGACUGAGAUACGGCCCAGACUCCUACGGGAGGCAGCAGUGGGGAAUAUUGCACAAUGGGCGGAAGCCUGAUGCAGCGACGCCGCGUGGGGGAUGACGGCCUUCGGGUUGUAAACUCCUUUCGACCGCGAGGAAGCCACCUGGUUGGAAGGGUGGUGACGGUAGUGGUAGAAGAAGCACCGGCUAACUACGUG
rnacentral:rRNA from 1 species